CACUCCUACGGGAGGCAGCAGUGAGGAAUAUUGGACAAUGGGUGGAAGCCUGAUCCAGCCAUCCCGCGUGCAGGAAGACGGCCCUAUGGGUUGUAAACUGCUUUUAUCUGGGGAUAAACCUACUUACGUGUAAGUAGCUGAAGGUACCAGAAGAAUAAGCACCGGCUAACUCCGUGCCAGCAGCCGCGGUAAUACGGAGGGUGCAAGCGUUAUCCGGAUUUAUUGGGUUUAAAGGGUCCGUAGGCGGACUGAUAAGUCAGUGGUGAAAUCCGACAGCUUAACUGUCGAACUGCCAUUGAUACUGUUAGUCUUGAGUAAGGUUGAAGUGGCUGGAAUAAGUAGUGUAGCGGUGAAAUGCAUAGAUAUUACUUAGAACACCAAUUGCGAAGGCAGGUCACUAAGUCUUAACUGACGCUGAUGGACGAAAGCGUGGGGAGCGAACAGGAUUAGAAACCCUAGUAGUCC
rnacentral:rRNA from 1 species